rnacentral:lncRNA from 1 species
UUUAAUAUCUCGAUUCUCAAACAACUUUUAGUGCAAUUUGGUCAACACAUCGGUCAAAACAUGCAAUAUGUUAUGGCCCAUGCCAGACGUACAGUCCCCUCUACCGAAUUGGUUAUAGUAUGAUGAUGUGGUGCAUUUUUUAAAAUGUCAAAAUCUCGUAUACAAUUUAGAAAAGAAAAAAAAGGGAACCAUUUUGUGAACCCUACUUUUCUUUAUCAUUUCCGUUCUCCCUCGAACACACCACCUGGUGGAAAUGGAAGGAAAAAUUCGGCGACGCCGACCUCGACACGGUAUGAACCCCACAUUCUUACUCCCGUCAUUUGAACUGGGCCCUAAACCCUAUCAUUACGGAUUUGCAGAAGAAAUGGAAGCAGAUAACUCCGUCGCUGGUGACUGCACUGGUAACAUUUAUUCUUCUUGAAAGAUGUUUCUUGUUUAUUUCUUGUCAUUUUUUCCUUUAUAGAACUUGAACUGCUAUUGUUCCAUCGAAGUGUUAAAGUUUGGGGAAAUUUGCUGAUGAAACUUCGACUGAACACCUACGUUUGGGGAAACCUGCUAUUGUUCUUGUUCGUUUGCUCUUCGUGCAUAAAUUGUAGAUGAUGAAACUUCGACUGUACAAAUAUGUCAAAGAAUGAAAUCUGGCGUUUAAUUCUUGGUUCAGAUUUUUGGAGCUAUCAUAUAUUUUCUUCUUGUUGCAUUUGUUCGAUGUGGCUACAAAUUAUUGUCAAGAUUUGCAAGUCCCUUCCCCCUAGGCCCAAGUUCUUUUCUGAUUUUGGGUUCUAAAGCAGCCCACUUUGAAACAGUUUGUGUGAUUGUUUUGCAAUCGUCGUGAAGCAGCUAAUUCUAUAAUGGUUAUUGGUUACUGCAAUUGUGGAGCUGAUUAGGUAAAUAUUUAUUUAUUUUGUUUCAGUUCGUACUUCCACCUGCACUGACCAAAUGUGCUUUUUUCUUUAUAAAUAAGGCUCUGAUUCUUUUGCUGUAGGCACUAUGUCUGAGUUGUUUCAAAUGUACUGGAGAAAGUGAAUGCUCAGUUGUUAUGCUGUGGUGUUAUGCAAGGAUGAUGUAAAUGGACAAGUCGGAUCAAGAAAGAAAAAGGGUUAUAGAGCAUACUAUGGAGGGGACUACUGCCAUGUUAUUCUAAAUUAGUAAUGAUUGUUGAUUUAUACGCCUAACUAGUAAUGGUGGUUGAGCUGUCUCAGUUAUUUGGUGCCGGAAAGUAAGAAUGCUAUUAUAAAUUAGUAAUGGUGGUUGAUUUGUGACCCUUACCAUGUCGAUAUUUUGUAAGCUAGUUUAUGGUAAUAUUCAUGUGCAUCUUGUGAUAGCACAGAGGUUCGUGCUUAAUUGACAAUAAGUUAUUUCAUCUUUGGCACGAACACAUUUGUCCAAGGACAAUGGAUUUAGCUUGAUGUAGUACAAGAAAAGUGCAAAAUCUUAAUGAUCUUGAAUCAGUAUUGCCAAUUGGCAGUCAUUUGCAAAGGCAAUUGCAUAAAUCUUGAUGAUUUUUGGUUGGAAAGUGCUUAAACAGCUGCAUGUGAACUGAAUAAUAGGUUGAAUAAUUGCUAAGGAGUUGGUCAAAACUGGAUAUGCAACAAGUGCUUGAAGACCAAGUCUUUAGGGAGAUAGUUGAUGCUAUUUUUCUGUUUAUGCUUUUGAUAUUAGGAAGCUGAUAGUCAUGCCUUGUAAUCAACAAAUUUCUUUGACAUUCUGUUAAACUUGAG